rnacentral:rRNA from 1 species
CGCACGGGUGAGUAACACGUAUGGAACCUGCCCUAUGCAGGGGGAUAAGCGGAAGAAAUUCCGUCUAAUACCGCAUAACACCUUUAGGAGACAUCUUCUUGGGGUCAAAGGAGGCGACUCCGGCAUAGGAUGGCCAUGCGUCGCAUUAGCUAGUCGGCGGGGUAACGGCCCACCGAGGCGACGAUGCGUAGGGGUUCUGAGAGGAAGGUCCCCCACACUGGUACUGAGACACGGACCAGACUCCUACGGAAGGCAGCAG